UAUGGGGACAUUUUGAAUUAUGGGGACAUGACCGGUGUCCUCAUAAUUCUAACAGUGUAGAAGUGCUUCUAUACCUAGAGGGAGCUCAAAUCCAAAAUUUCUCCACAAGUCCCCAUAGUUCACAUUUACAUGAUUUUGUGUAAAACGUGUGUAUCGAGACAGUGCCCCUGUAGGUGGGUCUGGGGUACUGCACCUCCUCAUGAAUAUUCACACUUGUGUAUGAAAUCGCAGUUUGUGAUUGGCUGUGACCGCCGGAAGUCCUCAUAAUUUCGGGUUUUGUCAGACCACUGUGUUAAUGUGUUUACCUCACACGAGUUAAUGCAGUUUACUAACUAUUUAAACAUUAUUGUUUUAUAAUUUAUCAAUUGUCAAUGAAAUAUAUAAAUGCAGAGUGACCCUGCAAUGAUAAAUAAUCCGUAAAUAUCAUAUUAUGAAAAAUGAAAAUAGCUUGAAAGCUGUUCGCAAUCAGUUUAAUGGAGAAACGCGACCCUAACCACACUAUUAACUGCUAUAUCAUAGACUAUAUCAUAGAUGGCUAUUUACAUACAUAAUGGUAUUAUUAUUCUACAAUAUCGUUUAUUAUAAUCCAUAUGGUCUAAUAAUCAUAGUUUAGCGUCGCGUUUAUUUCCUGUUUGGACCGGGUGGAAACUGCAGCUGAGAAGACACCUGUGAUUUGGACCUGUUUAAAGCAACUAUUACUGGAAAGCAGACACUCUGAGAGCCCAAGCCACUGGAUGAGGCGUAGUUUUCACUUCAGAACAAAGACAGAUUCAUCAAUGAUUUUAAAGGGAGAGGAGUGUUCAGUUGCUCUGAGUUUCAUAAGGGAGAUUUCCUGCUUGAAUAUGGAGGAGACUAAGAAAAGAAGAAGAACGAGAGCGAAGGCAAAGAGUAUCUCAUCAUGACGAGUUUCAUUACGAUGGAAAACUCCUCUGUGUUGAUCAGCCCGAGAUGACGGUUCCCUUGGUUGACCAUAUGAACCCGACCUGCAGGAUGAAGACUAUCGCUGUGGAUGGAAAACCUCAGCUAUGCUUGUUUGCUCCAAACAAUGAAGAGAUCACAUAUAAUCAUGGUGAUCCUGAGUGGCCAAGUGAUGCACGAUGAGCCAUUUGAAAACUCACAUGGCUGAAGUUGGGGUGAUCUCGGGAGGCGAUACCUUCAGACUGACGGCAGGAGGGGUGUGCAAAUGUAACAUCGAUGUGCCUACAAUAACAGACGGCGUGAAUCUAAAUUCUUCAAGAACGUGCAGGUUUACUGCAACAGUAGAGCUGCGAACCUCACAUAGUUUUGAAAAUCCAGCAAUUAGUUAAUCUUGAUGAGAUCAGAAUGACUGGAUGCCAGUAAUCCUGAUGAAAGCCAUCCUGAGGAUGAUCAUUUCUCCAAUGCUUUUGAUCUGCUGUACAGCACUAGAUGAAAAUCACUGUAUUUCUGGAAAGCGGCUUUAAUACAAUCUGUAUAUUAAAAAGCGCUAUUUAAAUAAAGGUGACUUGACAGCAAUCUCUUUAAUUUGUUUCCAACUAUUUUUAUUACUAUUUAUGUUUAUGAAAUAGUAAUAGAAAUAUCUGAAAACAAAUUAAAGACAUCUAUCUAAAUGAAUUCCAUCUCUUUGCAUUUUACAGUUGUUGUUGUUGUUGUUUUUCUUUUCACACAAGACAGAUUGUAGUGUACCUUGAGAUUUAUGUAAAAUUGUCAGGCCAACAACUAAUGUUGACAACAAGCACUAAUAAACUCUGCUCCUUGCACAA